GGACGCCUACGGGGGGCAGCAGUGAGGAAUAUUGGUCAAUGGUCGGGAGACUGAACCAGCCACGCCGCGUGAGGGAGGAAGGUACAGAGUAUCGUAAACCUCUUUUGUCAGGGAACAAAGGCGGGGACGUGUCCCCGGAUGAGUGUACCUGAAGAAAAAGCAUCGGCUAACUCCGUGCCAGCAGCCGCGGUAAUACGGAGGAUGCGAGCGUUAUCCGGAUUUAUUGGGUUUAAAGGGUGCGUAGGCGGGCUGUUAAGUCAGCGGUAAAAACCCGGGGCUCAACCCCGGCGAGCCGUUGAAACUGG
rnacentral:rRNA from 1 species